GCCCGGAUAGGGUAGUCAGGAUAUCCUUGGAGGCUGCGGACCUCCAGACCCGGGUUCGAAUCCCGGUCCGGGCA
rnacentral:tRNA from 1 species